UACGAAGGGGGCUAGCGUUGCUCGGAAUUACUGGGCGUAAAGGGCGCGUAGGCGGACAGUUAAGUUGGGGGUGAAAGCCCGGGGCUCAACCUCGGAAUUGCCUUCAAUACGGGCAGACUAGAGUGCGGUAGGGGAGACUGGAAUUCCUGGUGUAGCGGUGAAAUGCGCAGAUAUCAGGAGGAACACCGGUGGCGAAGGCGGGUCUCUGGGCCGUAACUGACGCUGAGGAGCGAAAGCGUGGGGAGCGAACAGG
rnacentral:rRNA from 1 species